GGGGACGGGCGGGUGCCUAUACAUGCAAGUCGAACGCUUUUUCUUUCACCGGAGCUUGCUCCACCGAAAGAAAAAGAGUGGCGAACGGGUGAGUAACACGUGGGUAACCUGCCCAUCAGAAGGGGAUAACACUUGGAAACAGGUGCUAAUACCGUAUAACACUAUUUUCCGCAUGGAAGAAAGUUGAAAGGCGCUUUUGCGUCACUGAUGGAUGGACCCGCGGUGCAUUAGCUAGUUGGUGAGGUAACGGCUCACCAAGGCAACGAUGCAUAGCCGACCUGAGAGGGUGAUCGGCCACACUGGGACUGAGACACGGCCCAGACUCCUACGGGAGGCAGCAGUAGGGAAUCUUCGGCAAUGGACGAAAGUCUGACCGAGCAACGCCGCGUGAGUGAAGAAGGUUUUCGGAUCGUAAAACUCUGUUGUUAGAGAAGAACAAGGAUGAGAGUAAAAUGUUCAUCCCUUGACGGUAUCUAACCAGAAAGCCACGGCUAACUACGUGCCAGCAGCCGCGGUAAUACGUAGGUGGCAAGCGUUGUCCGGAUUUAUUGGGCGUAAAGCGAGCGCAGGCGGUUUCUUAAGUCUGAUGUGAAAGCCCCCGGCUCAACCGGGGAGGGUCAUUGGAAACUGGGAGACUUGAGUGCAGAAGAGGAGAGUGGAAUUCCAUGUGUAGCGGUGAAAUGCGUAGAUAUAUGGAGGAACACCACUGGCGAAGGCGGCUCUCUGG
rnacentral:rRNA from 1 species